AUUGAACGCUGGCGGCAUGCCUUACACAUGCAAGUCGAACGGCAGCACGGGAGCAAUCCUGGUGGCGAGUGGCGAACGGGAGAGUAAUGUAUCGGAACGUGCCCUGUCGUGGGGGAUAAGGCAGCGAAAGCUGUGCUAAUACCGUAUCUGAUCUUUGGAUGAAAGCGGGGGCUCGCAAGACCUCGCCCGAUUGGAGCGGCCGAUAUCAGAUUAGCUAGUUGGUGGGGUAAAAGCUUACCAAGGCGACGAUCUGUAGCUGGUCUGAGAGGACGACCAGCCACACUGGAACUGAGACACGGUCCAGACUCCUACGGGAGGCAGCAGUGGGGAAUUUUGGACAAUGGGCGCAAGCCUGAUCCAGCAAUGCCGCGUGCAGGAUGAAGGCCUUCGGGUUGUAAACUGCUUUUGUACGGAGCGAAAAGGCGCUCUCUAAUACAGGGGGCUCAUGACGGUACCGUAAGAAUAAGCACCGGCUAACUACGUGCCAGCCGCCGCAGUAA
rnacentral:rRNA from 1 species